rnacentral:rRNA from 1 species
GUGUACGUUGCAAAGUACUCGGAUGAAUUGUGGUAAGUAGUGAAAUACAAAUCGGACUAGGAUAUAGCUGGUUUUCUGCGAAAUCUAUUUUAGUAGAUGAUUUAUUAUUUUAUUAGUGGGUAUAGCACUGAAUAUCUCGUAAUUUGAAUUACAAGAAGGGAGUAUGAAAGUACUUACUUUGGAUAUUUAAUCUCAGAAUAACUAAUAAGAAGAUAAGAUAAAUUCUCAGACUUUUUGCGAUGAGGUGAAAAGUCGAAAGGGAAACAGCCCAGAAUAAUGAAUAAAGUUCCUCAAUUGUUACUGAGUGAAAGAAAAGAGGUUUUUCAUCUGAGACAAUCAAGAAGUGGGCUUGGAAACAGCCAUC